UGGGGGAUAUUGCACAAUGGGGGGAACCCGUGAUGCAGCGACGCCGCGUGGGUGAAGAAGCGCCUCGGCGCGUAAAGCCCUGUCAGCAGGGAAGAAAAUGACGGUACCUGAAGAAGAAGCCCC
rnacentral:rRNA from 1 species